CAAAGCAGGCAGAUUCGUCUGGCAAUGUCAUUGUCGGCCCUUUACGGCAAGGAGGCCGAGGCUUUCUUCUAACAUCGGAAGUAAUACAAAAGACGCUGCACCAUAUAUGAAAAAAAGCGUAGUUGGGAUUCAGUUAUUUUAUCCACGAAUGAUUCAUAUAACAUGUGUUGCGUACGGAGUUCACAGGGCAUGUGAAAAACUGCGAAGCCAGUUUGCAGAAGUUGAUUCCUUAGUUGCAAAUAUAAAGAAAAUAUGUGUUCAAAAAGUCCAACAAGAAUUCGAUUCUUUCAAGAAAAGCAACCAGUUCUACCUGUACCACCUCAACCAGUCUUGACACGCUGGGGAACUUGGUUGGAGGCAGUAUCAUAUUAUGCAAAAAAUUUUAACGGAAUCAAAGAUAUUGCUGAUGGUAUCAAUGACGAUGCGGCUUGCGUUAUUUUUGCAAAGAAAUUGUUUGCAAACAAGGGAAUUUGAGAGGACUUGGCGUAUAUUCAAGCUAACUUUAGGUUUAUAGUAGGCGAGAGAAAUACAUUCAAAAUUCUUCAGAAAAGAGGCGAGCCAAUAAAUAAUGUAUUGGAUGCACUGCAGAAUAUAGGAAACAAUUUAAAACAGGCCAGAGGGCUAGUAACUACAACAAUAUUGGAAAAAUAUAACAUGGUAUUUCAAGCGAAUCAAGGUCUGCAAGUGAUAAAAAAAUUGCCGGGACUCUGAAUGGUGAAAAGUCGGUAGCAUGGCCAGAAAAUAUAACCACAAACGAGGUGGAGUUUUUGAAUUGGGCACCAUUAGUCUCUGUGGAUGUCGAGAGGAGCUUUAGUUCAUUCAAAUCAAUGCUUCGUGAUAAUCGCAUGAGGUUAUUACCCGAAAAUUUUAAAAUACACUUAGUGGCACUGUGCUACUAUGAUAGCAAGGGCGAAAAAUCAUAGUCAACCUCUGUAUAUAUUUUUAAAUAUAUUUAACUGUA